UACGUAGGGUCCGAGCGUUGUCCGGAUUCAUUGGGCGUAAAGAGCUCGUAGGCGGCCUGUUACGUCUGCUGUGAAAGCCCGGGGCUCAACUCCGGGUCUGCAGUGGAUACGGGCAGGCUAGAGUCCGGCAGGGGAGACUGGAAUUCCUGGUGUAGCGGUGAAAUGCGCAGAUAUCAGGAAGAACACCUAUGGCGAAGGCAGCUCUCUGGGACGGUACUGACGCUGAGACGCGAAAGCGUGGGGAGCGAACAGG
rnacentral:rRNA from 1 species